AUGCCUAGAAAGGGCACGAGAACCAUUGCAAACGUCUUCCACGAGACGUGUGCUCGACUGCACGUACCUCCAUCGGAGGGUACUGGGCUCCGCCUCCCUCUUCAGAAUGGCCCUCGGAACUUUCUGGAACAUUCGGAGUCUCCCAGGUUACAAGACCAGGCCGUGAUGCUGAGAUUCAUGAGACCCGCACUGUGGUUCUCAGCAGCAGCCCCAAGGCACUUCCAGGCUCGUCUUAUCUUUCCACCCCACCGCCGCACCGCCCAACUUGGAGCCCUCCAGGGACGCCCACUACUCUCAGGAAGAAGCCCCCGCUCCCCAGUAUGGCGUGCAAAGCACAGCGGGCAGGCUGCCCCCUGGGAGGGCUCCUGCCCACCCUCUUCCUCACCUGCCUGUGGGGGCGCCUCCUCCCCUGGGCCACUGCUGGGCCUCCCUGGCACCAAGCUCUGGAGUGGGGGGGCCCAUGUCAGGAUGUCAGAUCUAACACAGGAAAACGUUUGCCUAAAAUAAAAGAACUAUGUCCCUACACAUCUGUAAGGCCCAAACCAAAACACUAACACCAGCAGAUACUGCCUCGUGGCUGGUGGGAGCGUGAGGCGGCGUCCUACGACUCGGCACACACACCCACCCCGGUUCAGCCACCGCGAUCCUUGGUUCCUAACCCCAAAGAGCUGAAAACUUCAGACCAUGCAAAAACCUGCUCCUGGAUGAGUCCGGCAGCUUAUUCAUCAUGGCCAACAUGGGGAAGCCUCAAGAUGCCCCUCAGUGGGGGAGUGGGUACCUUUCCGCAGUACAUCAGGUGAUGGUGUAUCAAGUCAGUUCUGUUCAGCCGCUCAGUCGUGUCCGACUCUUUGCGACCCCAUGGACUGCAGCACGCCGGGCCUCCCUGUCCAUCACCAACUCACGGAGUUUACUCAAACUCACGUCCAUCGAGUCGGUGAUGCCAUCCAGCCAUCUCAUCCUCGGUCGUCUGAUGCAGUGUCAUUCAGCUCUAAAGGAAAAGGCGCGGGGAGACCGUGAAGAGAUGCAGAGGAAGCGUAAAUGCAAGAGAGAGAGGCCAGUCUGCAAAGGCUACCACGUGGGGCCCUAACUGGAGGACAGCCUGGCAAAGCAGACCCACGGAGACAGCAGGACAACCCACGGCUGCGGGGGUCAGGAGCGUGGUGGACAGGAGCCGCUCCGCGGGUUUUCUGGGCAACAACUCUCCCCCUAGGUGCUGGCACAUGGACACAUGUCACUGAACAUCUGGCAAAACCUGUAGAAUGCCCACCAAGAGUGAACCUCCAAGCCAACUAUGGACUUUAGCUAAUAACAAUAUAUUAGCGUUGCUCCAUCGGCUGCCACAUGCGUGUCACGUUAGUGUAAGUGUUAAUGCUAUGGGAGAAGCUGAGUGUAUGGGAAUCCUUUGGACUUUCUCAGCAAUUUCCCUAUAAACUUAAAAUCUUUCUUUAAAGACGCUAUUAAAAAACAAUAAAGACAGUUGUUUAUCUGAGCUUUGAAUUUAA
ensembl:lncRNA